GUAGGUGAACCUGCGGAAGGAUCAUUAAUAAUGCUCUCUGGCUUCGGUCAGUUGAGUUCAAUGAGUGCCUUCUCUUCGGAGUUGGCCAUCCAUACACACCGUGAACUGUGGCUUCGGCCAUCACAAACUGUUAGUAAUGAAUGUAAUAUCAUAACAAAAACAAAACUUUUAACAACGGAUCUCUUGGCUCUC
rnacentral:misc_RNA from 1 species